GACGAACGCUGGCGGCGUGCUUAACACAUGCCAGUCGAACGGAAAGGCCCUGCUUUUGUGGGGUGCUCGAGUGGCGAACGGGUGAGUAACACGUGAGUAACCUGCCCUUGACUUUGGGAUAACUUCAGGAAACUGGGGCUAAUACCGGAUAGGAGCUCCUGCUGCAUGGUGGGGGUUGGAAAGUUUCGGCGGUUGGGGAUGGACUCGCGGCUUAUCAGCUUGUUGGUGGGGUAGUGGCUUACCAAGGCUUUGACGGGUAGCCGGCCUGAGAGGGUGACCGGCCACAUUGGGACUGAGAUACGGACCAGACUCCUACGGGAGGCAGCAGUGGGGAAUAUUGCACAAUGGGCGGAAGCCUGAUGAAGCAACGCCGCGUGCGGGAUGACGGCCUUCGGGUUGUAAACCGCUUUCGCCUGUGACGAAGCGUGAGUGACGGUAAUGGGUAAAGAAGCACCGGCUAACUACGUG
rnacentral:rRNA from 1 species